UGGGGAAUCUUGCACAAUGGGGGAAACCCUGAUGCAGCGACGCCGCGUGAGCGAUGAAGCCCUUCGGGGUGUAAAGCUCUUUCGGCAGGGACGAUAAUGACGGUACCUGCAGAAGCAGCUGCGGCUAACUACGUGCCAGCAGCCGCGGUAAUACGUAGGCAGCAAGCGUUGUUCGGAAUUACUGGGCGUAAAGAGUGCGUAGGCUGUUUGUCAAGUUCGGUGUGAAAUCUCCUGGCUCAACUGGGAGGGUGCGCCGGAAACUGGCAGACUAGAGUGUGGGAGAGGAAAGUGGAAUUCCUGGUGUAGCGGUGAAAUGCGUAGAUAUCAGGAGGAACACCGGAGGUGAAGACGGCUUUCUGGACCAUAACUGACGCUGAGGCACGAAAGCGUGGUAGCAAACAG
rnacentral:rRNA from 1 species